rnacentral:rRNA from 1 species
GACAUUUUCUAUCUACGUGUCUUGACCAAAUCACGUGCCAGCAGUCGCGGUAAUACGUGGGAGACUAGUGUUAUUCAUCUUUAAUAGGUUUAAAGGGUACUUAGACGGUUGAUUAAACCUCAAAUGGUACUAAUCAUCUAGAGUUUUAUGCAAGAAGGGGAGUACUAAAGAGUGUAGAGAUGAAAUUCUGUCAUACCUGACUUGGAACAGACAACGGCGAAAGCAACCUUUUAUGUAAAAACUGACGUUGAAAGACGAAGGCUUAGGACACCAACAGGAUUAGAUACCCCAGCAGUCUAAGCAGACAAUGAUGAAUGUCAUAGAUUAGAAUUAUAAUUUUGUCUAUAAAUGAAAGUGUAAGCAUUCCACCUCAAGAGUAAUGUGGCAACGCAGGAACUGAAAUCAUUAGACCGUUUCUGAAACCAGUAGUGAAGUAUGUUGUUUAAUUUGUCGAUCCGCAAAACACCUUACCACAAUUUGAAUAAUAUUAUUAAAAAUAUAUUUUUUUUUUAUAAUAUUACAAGCGUUGCACGGCUGUUUUCAGUUAAUAUCGUGAGAUUUUGGUUAGUUCCAUAAAAUUAACGUAAACCCUUACUUUAUUUAUCAAUAUAAAGUAGUUCCCCGCUAUAUUGGAUAUGAUAAAAGGGAAUAAGACAAGUCCAUCUGGCCUUAAUAUUGUGG